AUUGAACGCUGGCGGCAGGCUUAACACAUGCAAGUCGAACGAGUGGCGGACGGGUGAGUAAUGCUUGGGAAUCUAUCUUAUGGAGGGGGAUAACUACGGGAAACUGUAGCUAAUACCGCGUCCCAUCGGAUGAGCCCAAGUGGGAUUGGCUAGUUGGUGAGGUAAAGGCUCACCAAGCCGACGAUCUCUAGCUGGUCUGAGAGGAUGACCAGCCACACUGGAACUGAGACACGGCCCAGACUCCGACGGGAGGCAGCAGUGGGGAAUAUUGCGCAAUGGGGGCAAGCCUGACGCAGCCAUGCCGCGUGAAUGAAGAAGGCCUUCGGGUUGUAAAGUUCUUUCGGUAGCGAGGCGUUAACGGCAGAAGAAGCACCGGCUAACUCCGUGCCAGCAGCCGCGGUAAUAC
rnacentral:rRNA from 1 species